rnacentral:rRNA from 1 species
CUGCAACUGACACUGAUGCUCGAAAGUGUGGGUAUCAAACAGGAUUAGAUACCCUGGUAGUCCACACAGUAAACGAUGAAUACUCGCUGUUUGCGAUAUACAGUAAGCGGCCAAGCGAAAGCAUUAAGUAUUCCACCUGGGGAGUACGCCGGCAACGGUGAAACUCAAAGGAAUUGACGGGGGCCCGCACAAGCGGAGGAACAUGUGGUUUAAUUCGAUGAUACGCGAGGAACCUUACCCGGGCUUAAAUUGCAGUGGAAUGAUGUGGAAACAUGUCAGUGAGCAAUCACCGCUGUGAAGGUGCUGCAUGGUUGUCGUCAGCUCGUGCCGUGAGGUGUCGGCUUAAGUGCCAUAACGAGCGCAACCCUUAUCUUCAGUUACUAACAGGUCAUGCUGAGGACUCUGGAGAGACUGCCGUCGUAAGAUGUGAGGAAGGUGGGGAUGACGCCAAAUCAGCACGGCCCUUACGUCCGGGGCUACACACGUGUUACAAUGGGGGGUACAGAAGGCAGCUAGCGGGUGACCGUAUGCUAAUCCCAAAAUCCUCUCUCAGUUCGGAUCGAAGUCUGCAACCCGACUUCGUGAAGCUGGAUUCGCUAGUAAUCGCGCAUCAGCCACGGCGCGGUGAAUACGUUCCCGGGCCUUGUACACACCGCCCGUCAAGCCAUGGGAGCCGNNNGUACCUGAAGUACGUAACCGCAAGGAUCGUCCUAGGGUAAAACUGGUGACUGGGGCUAAGUCGUAACAAGGUAACCA